AGUUUCCGUUGGGACUUGGUUUUAAUUUUAAGAGAAGAGAAGAGAGAGAAACACAAUGUAACCCUAGUCCAAUUCACCGCCUCUCUCAAGCUCCUUUCCCCACCGUGACGGACAGGAUUCAAUGAAUCAACUUGCCACCGUCACGAAUUCACCGCCUCUCUCAAGCUCCACCGUCCACCGUCACGAACAGGAUUCAAUGAAUCAACUUGCCACCGUCACGAAUCACGAAAGAAAUCGCUCAAUCUCUCACCGCUUGCGAAGAAAUCAGACGAAUUUAAUUUUGGUUUUUGGCAACAGCUUUGGGUGUUUGUAGUUCCAAAACUACAUCUUGUUUCUUGGUUUGACACUAAAGACUACAUACUUAAACUUCCUUCACCAGAGUGUUGGGUGGUAAGGCAAUUUUGUUUCAACACCUUCUUGAAGCUUUUACUUAUCAGUACAAGGUCAAGGAUGAUUGAGUUGGUAUCAAAAGGUUUGGCUACAUUAGAGAGAAACCAUAGAAAGCAUAUGUGCAUAUCAAUGGAAUUAGUAGCUGCUGUUCUUGGAGACCAUGGACAGCGUCCUCAUGAAGACUAUGUAGUGGCUACAGCAGUUACUGAAUUGGGCAAUGGAAAGCCAAAGUUCUAUUCUACUCGCGAUAAUCUCUUUUUGCAUAAAAUGGCGAUUACCAACAAAUCACGUGUGGUUGUUCUCAACAAGAAAAUCAGCCUCUUCCUUCAUUGCUGCCUAUGAAGCCUAAUGCGAGGAAGGUACUGCAACUUCUGUAUGCAGGGAUCUUGAUGAAAUUGUGGACGUAUCUAUACCAGGUUUGAAUGUUAAGUUAGCACUAUUUAUUUAACUUGACAUUGUGUCUCAUGCUCCACAUAUAUGAUGAAAUGGAAUUUGAUAGACAAUGAUUUUUUUUAAAAAAUAAAAAUAGAAAGCCUACUUUGUUUUAAAUUUAAUGAAAUAGACUGACCUGAUGGAAAAAAUAGAAUGACCCUGAUGGAAAAAAUAGAAUGUCCCUGAUGGAAAAUAUAUGGUAUUUGAACCUAUACGUUUCGAUAAAUGGGAUGAUGAUGAUAAUGUGACCCUUAAUGGAAUGAAAAUAGAAAGCCUACUUUAUUUUAAAUUCUAUAAAAUAGAAUGACCCGAUGGAAAAAAUAGAAUGUCCCAAAUGGAAAAUAUAUGGUAUUAGAACCUAUACGGUUCGAUAAAUGGUAGGAUGAUCGUACCGUGACCCUUAAUCGAAUGAAAAUAGAAAGACUACUUUGUUUUAAAUUCUAUAUAAUAAAAUGACCGGAGGGAAAAAGAAGAAUGACCCUGAUGGAAAAAAUAGAAUGUACCUAAUGGAAAAUAUAUGGUAUUUGAACCUAUACGGUUCAAUAAAUGGGAUGAUGAUGGAACUGUGACUCUUAAUCGAAUGAAAAUAGAUAGCCUGCUGCCUACUUUGUUUUAAAUUCUAUGAAAUCAAACGACCCGAUGGAAAAAUAGCAUGACCCUGAUGGAAAAAAUAAAAUUUCGCUGAUGGAAAAUAUAUGGUAUGUGAACCUAUACAGUUAUAAAUUUUAUGAAAUAGAAUGACCCGAUGGAAAAAAUAGAAUAACCCUUAUGGAAAAAAUAUAAUGUCCCUGAUGGAAAAUAUAUGGUAUUUGAACCUAUACUGUUCGAUAAAUGGUAUGAUGAUGGUACUGUGACCUUUAAUAGAAUGAAAAUAGAAAGACUACUUUGUUUUAAAUUCUAAAAAAUAGAAUGACCCAGAGGAAAAAACAAAAUGUCCCUGAUGGAAAAUAUAUGAUUGUAUUGUGACACUUAAUCGAAUGAAAAUAGAAAGCCUACUUUGUUUUAAAAUCUAUGAAAUAGAAUGACCCUGAUGGAAAAAAUAGAAUGUACCUAAUGGAAAAUAUAUGACAUUUGAACCGAUACGGUUCAAUAAAUGGGAUGAUGAUGGAACUGUGACUCUUAAUCAAAUGAAAAUAGAUAGCCUGCUGCCUACUUUGUUUUAAAUUCUAUGAAAUCAAAUGACCCGAUGGAAAAAUAGCAUGACCCUGAUGGAAAAAAAUGAAAUGUCGCUGAUGGAAAAUAUAUGGUAUGUGAACCUGUACAGUUAUAAAUUCUAUGAAAUAGAAUGACCCGAUGGAAAAAAUAGAAUAACCCUUAUGAAAAAAAUAUAAUCUCCCUGAUGGAAAAUAUAUGGUAUUUGAACCUAUACUGUUCGAUAAAUGGUAUGAUGAUGGUACUGUGACCUUUAAUAGAAUGAAAAUAGAAAGACUACCUUGUUUUAAAUUCUAAAAAAUAGAUUGACCCAAUGAAAAAAUAAAAUAUCCCUCAUGGAAAAUAUAUGAUUGUACUGUGACACUUAAUCGAAUGAAAAUAGAAAGCCUACUUUGUUUUAAAUUCUAUGAAAUAGAAUGACCCGAUGGAAAAAAUUGAAUGACCCUGAUGGAAAAAAUAGAAUGUCUCUGAUGGAAAAUAUAUGGUAUUUGAACCUACACGGUUCAAUAAAUGGGAUGAUGAUGGAACUGUGACUCUUAAUCGAAUGAAAAUAGAUAGCAUGCUGCCUACUUUGUUUUAAAUUCUAUGAAAUCAAAUGACCCGAUGGAAAAAUAGCAUAACCCUAAUGGAAGAAAUAAAAUGUCGCAGAUGGAAAAUAUAUGGUAUGUGAGCCUGUACAGUUAUAAAUUCUAUGAAAUAGAAUGACCCGAAGGAAAAAUAGAAUAACCCUUAUGGAAAAAAUAUAAUGUCCCUGAUGGAAAAUAUAUGGUAUUUGAACAUAUACGGUUCAAUAAAUGGGAUGAUGAUAGAACUGUGACUCUUAAUCGAAUGAAAAUAGAUAGCCUGCUGCCUACCUUGUUUUAAAUUAUAUGAAAUCAAAUGACCUGAUGGAAAAAUAGCAUGACCCUGAUGGAAAA